ACCUGCAGCCGCCGCUCGGGUCUCCCGCAUUCAUCCCCUCCCCUGAUUCGGUGGUGCCACGGCGGACGGAUUCAUGGCGAGUUGCGGAGGCUGCGGAUUCAUGGCGACCUCACAGUGGCGCGAGCCGCUGCCGGCGAUGGAGAGGUGGAUCUCCGCAGGCAACGACAUGUUCACACCAUUAGCAGCAGCACCCUCUGCGUAGAUCUAUGGUAACCGACAAGGAGGAGAGGGACAGGACGGGAGGGGCAAGAAGCCCCGCGUCCUCAGCGAUGAUGAAGAUGGGGAGGAUGCAAAGAUGGCUUCUUCUUCAUCCAAGACCUGCAGGGGUUCAACCCAGAGAACGACAGCAGCAACAGGCACACCGAACCUGAUGGAGAGGGCUCGUUGGCAGAAGAUUUGGCUGGUGGGGUGGUCGCCCAACCUGGUGUCGAGAAGGCUCUACACAUUCUCUCCUGCAUCGUUCUUCUUGGUGACGGUUGAAGCAGUAAAGGCGUCGGUUCUCCUGCCAGUAGCAGCAGUGGCACGAGGAUGAGGGUGAGGUGUCGUGGCCAGCGUUCGGCCACUAUCGGAGAAGGUGGAGCAAGGGUGGAGGUUGCAGCACUGCAUGAAGCGAACUCUAAAUGCUAUUAUGUGUCAUCAACCUUCCCAUGCGCACCAGAAUAAGAAGUUUGAUGUUAUCGUAUAAACACAAUUAUCUCCAUGUUGGAAGUUGCUUCAGGAAGAAUAACAGGUUUGCUAUAAAACUUUGUCAACGGUUGAAGGGAAAGCAGAAAGUUCAUGCCUACUAAACUUGCUUCAUGAAGAAUAGCAGGUUUGCUACUAAUUCUGGUCGUCUUGGUGCAUCCCAGGUUUCUUACUAAUGUUGAUUUUUUUAAUGCAUUGGAGGUUUGCUACCAAAUUUCCGAAAAGAAUUAAUCCCUUUUUGAAUACCAUCUGUGGAGGUAUUAGCUGAAACCAGGGUAUUCAGAGAACACCUAAUAUAUUUGUGGACCAGUACUUGUUCUGGUGAUACAAGGAGGCUGGGUCUGAUCUGCUGUUACCCAAGCUUGCCAAGAAGGCUUCAUAGAGGUGAGGUAUUUGACCUAGAGAUCUGAACAUAUACUUUUAUAUGGUCCCCAUCCAGUAGCAAUGCAAGUUUUGUGUUUGCAUUUUUUUCUAUAUUCCCAUAGAGUUAUACUUUAGUAGUGUGUCUGCCUUAUGUGCCAUUCAGUGUUGAUGAUCAUAGUAUGCAGAAAAUGGCAAUGGUAUGGAUUAGUUAAAAUAAAGCAUCUAAAUUAGGAUAGGUAAGAUAAUUUUAUAAGCUCGCAGAGCAGUAAUUUAUUUCUUUGUAACGUGUUUAAAAAUAGGAGGGCAAUUUUGCAGCGGAUUUUCCAUUGCUUUGCCCCAUCGAUUCAUCAGAAUACUGCAAAAGGAAGGAUAAUUCCGCAUCCCGUAAUUCUUUUAUACUAUUAUAUAAUUUGUCGGCAAAUAGUCACUCGCCCUCUUUCUUGACCAGAAUAAAUGAUCACUAGAAAACUUACACUAAACCACGAUGGAUUUCUUGUGAACAGGCAUCAAAUUUAAAGUUUCUUCUUGAUAUGAAACAUUGCCCAACAUUUUUAGUAGCUGCUAGGUGCCUCCGAAGCUAAACUCAUAUGAAUUUAUUUCCAUUCACAUGAGAAAAUGAGGCAUAAUCUGUUUAUCUUCAUGUAUGUAGGCCAAAAAACAACAUGAUUGCUUGAUUGCAUAAUGUGUCUUUACGAACAAAUUAUUACCAUGUUAUGCAUGAAAUUAUUUGUAGCUGCAGUUCAGAUGUGAUAGUACCAGGAGCACUUGUGUCAAUAAUCACAAAUGGUUUUGCUGUACUAUUUAUAUGUUAAAAACCCCGUUCUAUAUCUUGCUUGCUUACUCUUUGGCUAGGCUUCUUUUUCUCUUGAUAGAUAGAUGCAUGACUCUGCAUAGAACUCAUUACAGACAAUUAUUGUUUCUUCCGUAGUUACUGCAGCCCAUAUACAAAGACCUGGAUUUGUUGUCCAUUAUUUGACUAUCUUGACAUACCAUUAGCUUCUAACGGAUUAUAAUUGAAUUUAUGGUUUUCUCCGGCAACUUAUGCCCAUGAGAGAUUAGAAUGCGAUUAUACAUGCUAAUAUUACUAUCCUUUAUAUCAACUAUGCUUGCUCAAAUGAUCCAAAAAAUGAAUGAACAACUGGAAUGCAAGAUCGUUGUUUGAAAGUAGUAGAAUUUUAAUAAAUAAUUUACCAUGUUUAGGUACAAUCUAAAUCACUGGUUUAUAAAAGGAUUAAAACCCCAAACCCAAUAUCAAAACUGGUCGGUGUGUAGCUUCAAUUAUGUGCAACCUGAUUGCGGUUCUACCAUGGUGAUGACGUGAAAUAGACCACAUUUUACUAGGCUUUAUUAUUCAAUAGUUAUACGUACAAGGAUCUUAGUUUCUUGUGGCAUUAAUUCUUGCUGACAAGGGUGAGUUGAGCAAAGUAAGACAUGUGGGGCGUGAGCUCCAAGGUAAUUUUGGGGGAAUUUACAGACGGUAUGAUCCACGUCCAUUACUUAUUGCAGUUAUUGGCUCUCUUUCUAUGUAGGUUAUUUUUGUGCUAGCUUUAAGCAUUAUUUCUCUUUGCGUUGUGACAAUAUAUGACACUCUAUGGUCUCCACUAUUAUGCAGAUUAGUGUCUUACUGGAAACAAAUGCCCCUAUAGAGUCUACAGGGCAAGGUGGCUACCUAUCCCUGAAAUGGCACAUAACGAUCAGCUUUCCUACUUUCAAUCUAUAUAUUACUUCAAAAAAGAUUCAUUGACAUCACAGUGCUUGCUUUCACGCUCAUUGGCCAAACUUCAAGGGAAAGAUGCCAAUACUAGAAAUUGUGGUGGAACCAUGGCGUCACACUGUAUCUAUAUCGCUUGUGCUUUCGAGUGGUGAAUCGGGACAGGCCCAGCCCCCACGACGUGAACCACUUUUGUUGUUACUGCUUUUGUUAAGUCCAGAAAAUCCAUGGUGUGCACCUAUCUCGUGAUGUUUGCAGCCUGUUAGGCAGGUACAAAUGUUGGUUAUGUGGCUUGACUCGCACUGA